CUCAAGUUACCAUCGCUAACGCGUGAGCUGACUAGGGAAUUAUUGAUCCCGGAGUUGGCUAAAUGAGCUGUAUACUUUGUAGAGUCAAUUUAAUGGAAUACGUCUAAUAAACGUGCGCUACACCAGUACAAAAAUAGCAACAAAGUUUGCACAGCACCUGCGACUGUCAAACUGAUUUAAGCCAGUCAGCAGAAACAGCAGCAGCAGUAGCAGCAGUUCACCUACAUACACACACACACACACACACCCACCCAAAUACACAAAUAGCACGCACACACUGCUAAAAUGGUGGACGCUGCGAGACAAAUGCUCGAUGAGCUAAUGGGCCGCAAUCGAAAUUUGCAUCCAUCUGAGGCUGGGCAAGCGGUCAAUUGGGAAGAUCCAGAGUUCUGUCAAUUUUACAAUGUGAAAUUCUGUCCGCAUGAUCUGUUUAUUAAUACUCGUGCCGAUUUGGGUCCUUGCACACGCAUCCACGACGAGGAGGCGAAACAUUUGUACGAGGAGGCGCGUCCAUCGCAGCGCAAACGCCAUACGGAGGAUGAGUUUCUGCGCUUCUGCAAUGUGAUGCUGCACGAUGUCGAUCGGAAGAUACAAAAGGGCAAGCAGCGCCUGCAGCUGAUGCAGCGCGAUCAUCCGUCGGGCACAAUGUCGCAAGCGGCCAAGCAGCAGGAGCAUCUGAACAAUCUAACCGCACGCAUCAACAAACUGAUGGCCGAGGCUGAGGAGGCAGGCAUCCGCGGCGAUGUGGAUCAGGCGCAGGAUCUGAUGGCCAUGUGCGAGGAGCUCAAAGAGGAGAAGGAAUCAUUGCAUCAGCAAUAUGAGGCGCACAUGAAAAGCUAUCACAAGUUGCGUGCGCCGCCGCCAACAGCGAUAACAACAGCUGUAACCACGCCCACCACACCAACAAUAAACGAAGCACCAAUAGGAGAACAGCUGCUACUUGCCAGUCCCGGUUCCAGCGUAGAAAACGUAGCUGGCAAUACGAUUGCGCUCGACAGCAAAGAACCCAAUGAAACGACCGAUGAGGCAACAACAGGAAUUGCAAGCUCUCCAUCAAGCGAAUGUGCUUCGCCCAGAGCGGCCGCAUCCCCCUCAGCCGAUGACAACAAAUCGGAGUCCAAGGGCGAUGGCAAACAGACGGCGAAUUGGUCGCACGAAGUGCUGCCCGAAAAACAAAUGAAGGUGUGCGAAAUAUGCGGCGCUUUUCUGAUUGUGGGCGAUGCCCAGCAGCGCAUCGAAGACCAUUUGAUGGGCAAACAGCAUUUGGGUUACUCCAAGCUGCGCAAUGCUGUUGCCGAGAUCAAUGAGCGGCGACAAAAGGAGCACGAAGAGGAGGAGCGCAAGCGGCGCGAUGAUCGUGUGCAACGCUUUCACAAUAGCUACGAGAGCAGACGUGAUCAGCGCGACUAUCGGGAACGCAGUCGUGACUAUCCGCCCAAUCGUCAAUCGUCGGACAGGCGGCAUCAUCAUCACAAAUCACACCACGGCCAUUCAUAUUCGCGCAGUGGCAGCCACAACAGCAGCAGCAGCAGUCGGCGCAGCAGUCAUAGUCAUCAUUAUCGUCACGACAGUCGGGAGCGGCAUGGUCGCAGUCGCAGUCGCAGCCGUUACUAGGACACAACCAAAGCUACAAACAGCCGCUGCUACAACAACAGCAACAUCUAACAAAAGCAAACAAAAGAAACAAAAACUGCAGCAAACUAUGAUAAAAAACAAAGCAAAAACAUAAUAAACUCUUCUAAUCGAAACGCAAAAUGAAAUUAGCUGAAGAUACUACGCAACCUCAGCAACAACAACAACAUCAACAUCUCUGGCCGAUUGCCACGUCCCUCUUCCACCCCUACAUACUCCAUGCAGCAUCGAGGUACUCCAAAAUAAGAUAAUAAUAACACAUUUCAAUAAUAUAUAAAAAAAAAAGCAAUUAAGAUCAGACAGUCUAAGGGGCACGCAUGUGUGCGUGGCACAUGUGCCAAACAUGCCAAAGAUCUGAGGAUCUAAGGAAUGCGCAUGUUCUUCCAAUUACCAACUAUCGCUCUAAUUCUGACAGCUAGAUAGGGAGAGAAAGAGAAAGAGAGCAUUGUAUUCCUGGGCCCCAAAUGUGGAGCUACUCCAGACAGACGAAUGCAAAUGCCAUGGAGUGCCUAGUCAAAGGAGCAACGAGUAACCAGUAACGAGUAGCGCGAUUAACGAGUAACCAGUAGCGAGCAGCGAGGGUGACGGUCUCACUGUAUCUUCCACUCAUGCUAACUGUAUUAAAGCAUGAGAUACGAGGUGAAUUUCAA
rnacentral:misc_RNA from 1 species